rnacentral:rRNA from 1 species
CACGUAGGGACCAAGCGUUGUCCGGAUUUAUUGGGCGUAAAGAGCUCGUAGGCGGUUCAGUCAGUCGGGUGUGAAAACUUCGGGCUUAACUCGAAGCAUGCAUCCGAUACUGCUGUGACUUGAGUCCGGUAGGGGAGUGGGGAAUUCCUGGUGUAGCGGUGAAAUGCGCAGAUAUCAGGAGGAACACCGGUGGCGAAGGCGCCACUCUGGGCCGGUACUGACGCUGAACGGCGAAAGCUAGGGGAGCAAACGGG